CCUACGGGGUGCAGCAGUGAGGAAUAUUGGUCAAUGGCCGGAAGGCUGAACCAGCCAAGUAGCGUGAAGGAUGACUGCCCUAUGGGUUGUAAACUUCUUUUAUAAAGGAAUAAAACGAGGCACGUGUGCCUUUUUGCAUGUACUUUAUGAAUAAGGAUCGGCUAACUCCGUGCCAGCAGCCGCGGUAAUACGGAGGAUCCGAGCGUUAUCCGGAUUUAUUUGGUUUAAAGGGAGCGUAGAUGGGUUGUUAAGUCAGUUGUGAAAGUUUGCGGCUCAACCGUAAAAUUGCAAUUGAUACUGGCAGUCUUGAGUACAGUAGAGGUAGGCGGAAUUCGUGGUGUAGCGGUGAAAUGCUUAGAUAUCACGAAGAACCCCGAUUGCGAAGGCAGCUUACUAAACUGUGACUGACAUUGAUGCUCGAAAGUGUGGGUAUCAAACAGGAUUAGAUACCCUAGUAGUC
rnacentral:rRNA from 1 species